rnacentral:lncRNA from 1 species
CUUCAGUACCUGGUUGGUGGCUCCCUGUCCCUUCCCCCAUCCCCUCCCCCAGGUAAAACAGAGGGGAACCACGCAGUCUGGGAGUUCUGGUGGAGCAGUGAUAGGAUUCAGGGUUCUGCACGGAGCUGCUGCUACAUUUAGAGGCCUGUGGGCCAGAAUAAAAACUCUGGAUUGAACCCCCCAUCAGAACCCACUCCUUUCCUUCACCAUAGCCUUAAAAGCCUCUCCAACAGCAGGAAACCUGAGGAGCAAACCCUCUGCCAGGAAAGCUGGAUCCUCCACACCCUGAGCUCCAGCUAGCCUGGACUUGUCCUCAUGCGCCCAGCUGCAACAUCCAGCUAGCCAAAAGUGUCCUUGGGGUGAAACACCACAGUUGCCACCAUUUGGUCCAGCAGCAGGGGCCAGACAAGCCAGGGCAUGUCCCGUUCCUGAUAUCGGUACCUCCAAUAAAGAGCCAGUGUUAAAAAUAAGCAAGGGCAAGUUGCUAAGAAGAAUAUAGAAACAUUGCCUGGACAUGAACGAGUGAGACUUAAAAUUAUAACUGGGUUAAACACUGUUAAGACCACCAAAGGACUUUGGCCACUGCAUCAAAUUGUGCAAAGAAGAAACUGCUCAUCUACAACCACUGAAGCUCAACCCUCCAAAUAUAUGCCUUCUGAUUUCGGGAAACUGGACAGUGAGUUAAGCCACCUGACAGGAACUCGGGAUAACAUAAAGGUCGUGCUAUUCUCCAAGUAUAUCAGGUUUAAGUAGGAGCAAACAAGGCUGGGGCAGGCCACAGCCCACAGGCUCAUUUGCUGAGGCCAAGUUUGCAUGCUCUUCUCCCACAAACCCAGGGGGAGCAGGAGGGGAGUUUCUGGGGAAGUGGUGACAAAGCCUCUGGUCUGCAUAAAACAGAGGGUGAACAUCCACUGCCGAAGGCUAAGAGCUGAGACUUGGGCCAGAUAAGAAGCAGACCAAGUGUAGACAAAAUGAUGCUUUUUGCCAUGCCAAUUGUCUUCUCUUACACAAACCGGUCCAGUUGUAAAACUCUCCCUCCCAUCCCCCUAGA